rnacentral:rRNA from 1 species
AUGGAGCACAACCGGUCCCGGUGUCCGCUUUACGCCCGUCUGCUCAAGAUAGCGGUCGAGUUCCUCCGCAGCAAGGACGACAUGCAACAACUAUUCCACCGCGCCUACCUGCCUACCCACUACGCCCUCCCAGACCCGCCCGUCUCCGCCGCCCCUUGCCUCUUCGCCCUUCCCCCCCACGACGACGUCGACCGCGUCAGCAGCCUCCCCGACGCGCUUCUUCACAACAUCGUCUCCCGCCUCCCGGCAAAGGACGCCGCCCGUACCGCCGCGCUCUCCCGCCACUGGCGCGGGGUCUGGCGCUCCGGCCCGCUCGUCCUCGUCGACUCCAGCCUCUUUCUCGCCACCUCCGCCGUGUCCAGCGUCCUCGCCGCACACCCGGGGCCCUUCCGAUGCGUCCACCUCACCAGCUGCUACAUGGAUGAAUUCCAUGACCUGCUCACGGGCUGGCUCCAGAUCCUCGCUGACAAGGGCAUCCAGGAUCUCGUCCUCGUAAACCGCCGGUGGCCGUUCGGUGUCGCUCUCCCCGCCACUUUCUUAGGCAUGACCACCCUGACCCGCCUCUACCUCGGCCCCUGGAUGUUCCCCGACACGGCCGGCCUCCCGAGCGCCACCUAUUUCCGUAACCUCCGUGAGCUCGGGCUCUGCAACGUCGUCAUGGAGAGCAGGGAUUUGGACUUCGUCCUCGACAGGAGCCCCGUGCUCGAGACGCUCUGUGUCGAAGGGAAUAUGUUGAGGCUUUGCCUCCGCCUUGUCAGCCAAAGCCUCCGGUGCGUGCAGAUCAUCGGCUGCUUCCUUGAAGAAAUCUUCGUGGUGGACGCCCCACUCCUUGAGCGGCUCAUCCAGUCCGAAGGUUUUACCCCUAACGGCAACUUCACCAAGCUGAAGAUUGGUCAUGCCCCCAAGCUGCAAUUGUUGGGAUACUUGGAGCUGGACCAAAGGCACGUCCUAGAGGUCGGCAACACCAUCAUGAAGGCUGGGUCAAGGGUGAGUCCGAGCACCAUGGUGCCAAGUGUGGGAACCCUGGCUUUGGAGGUGUGUUUCGGAGUCCGCAAUGAUGCGAAGAUGGUUCCCGAUGUCCUCAGAUGCUUUCCGAAUAUUGAGACGCUCCACAUCAAGUCUGGAAAAACCGAUCAAUCCUCUGGCAAGCUGAACCUGAAGUCCUGGCACGAGUCUGGAACCAUAGAAUGCAUCCGGUCGCGUAUCAAGCUGCUGGUUUUUCAUGAUUUUGGAGGGGGCCGCGGCGAGCUCGCCUUCCUCAAAUUUUUCUUUGAGAGCGCAUUGGUGCUGCAGGAGGUGGUGAUUGUGUUUGCCGCUGCCUUCAGUUCGUUCGAAGAGGUAGAAUCCAAAUUGGAGAGUCCGGUGUCCAUGAAACGGACUAGUGAAACCACCAUAGUGCUGGUCGCUGCGUGUUCUGAUCCUCAUGGCGGAGACAUUCAGAGCUUCAAAAUAGGAUCUGGUUUUUCUCCUGCCGACCCUUUUGCAAACUACUGA